rnacentral:lncRNA from 1 species
CGAAACCUCAGAGUUCCUAAUCAGAUUCAUUUCCUCCGCACCACAACAGGAACUCGGCUUGUUGCUUUUUAGCACUCAGUAAUAUUCCAUUUUAUAGAUGUACCACAGUUUUUCCAUUUGCCUAUUGAAGAACAUCUUAGCUGCUUUGAGGUUUUAGGAAUCAUGAGUAAAGUUGCUAUAAACAUCCAAGUGCCGAUUCCUGUGUUUUCAGCUUCUUUGGGUAAAAGUCAAAGUGAUUUCUGAAUUAUAUGGUAAGAAGUNUGUUUUUUUUUGUUUUUGUUUUUUGUUUUUUUUUGUCUUUUUAGGGGCACACCUGCAGUAUAUGGAGAUUCCCAGGCUAGGGAUCGAAUAGGAGCUGCAGCUGCCGGCCUAUACCACAGCCAUAGCAACUCAGGAUCCAGGCUGAGUCUGUGACCUAUACCACAGCUCAUGGCAACACCAGAUCCCUGACCCACUGAUCGAGGGAAGGGAUCAAACUCACAUCCUCAUGGAUGCUAGUUGGAUUCAUUUCCACUACACCAAAAUGGGAACUCCUAACUAUAUUUUCUUAAAGCAGUUUUCUGAUUCCUUCUUUGCCGUUUUCUAAUCUUUGGGGGGGUAGCAUAGUUCAGUUCGUGCAAGAUCAUAUCUGGACCAGACUGCUUGAAUCCAAACCCAGCUCUACUGCAUUAUGUGCUCUGUGACCUUCGUUUCCCUGAGCCAUGACAGGAGCUCCAGAAGUUUAGUUUUGUAAGAAAAUGCGAAACUGUCUUCCAAAGUGGCCAUAUACUACUUUCAUCCCCACUAGCAAAGUGGAUGCUCUGCAUCCUUGUCAGCAUUUGGUGUUUUCAGUGUUCUGGGUUUCUGCCAUUCUAAUAGGUGAAUAGUGGUCUCUCGUUGUUUUAAUUUGCUUUUCUCUGUUGACAUAUGUUGUGGAGGAUCUUUUCACAUGCUUAUCUGCCAUCUGCAUAUUUUUUUUGGUUUGAUUUUGAUUUCAAAGGACAUGAUGAUAAACCAGUCUCAGUCUGGGCUUCUCUUGGUUCGCUCCAGCCUUGGAUGGGCUUUUCCCCUCACAUCCCAAGAUGACUACCAGAAGUUUCAGGUCUUGAGAGAAUAAGAAGCUUUAGGACUGGAGGCACCCAGAAAAGCCCUCUUGAAGUUGAUAUUUAGCUGGAAAUUUAUUUUAUUGUGUAUUUAAAGAUAUCUAAGGAAGAAACUUCAGUAGCUUCCUGGAUAAAUUACUCAGUGUUUAAUAACUUCUUUAGCUUUCACCUAAAUCUAUUUUCCUGAGUUUAUCUAAGACACUCUGGCUUUAUGAUCAGCAGUGUUAUUAUUCUACAUUUUCACAAUUCAGCAUUCACAGUGCAACAACCCUCACUGAGCAACAUGGGUCUCUCAGACAGUGGGAUUUAUGUGAGUUGGUUGGACAGGUGAGUUGAGGGGACUUAAAAAAAACUCCAUCCAUGGGACCAAUGGAUGAAAACUCUGUCAUGAGCAAGUGUCAGAGCUCUUGCCUUGAGCUGUGGUGACUCACUGCAUGUCCCCGGGCGCAGGAAUCCUUCAUGUUGUUUCUUCUCAUUUACUACUUUGAAAAAAAAAAAAAAAAAAUAUAUA